AUACGGAGGAUCCGAGCGUUAUCCGGAUUUAUUGGGUUUAAAGGGUGCGCAGGCGGCCAUUUAAGUCAGCGGUUAAAUCGUGGGGCUCAACCCCAUUCUGCCGUUGAUACUGGGUGGCUUGAUUGCGGUCGAGGUUGGCGGAAUUCGUUGUGUAGCGGUGAAAUGCAUAGAUAUCACGAGGAACUCCGAUUGCGCAGGCAGCUUACUAGGCCAUAACUGACGCUCAGGCACGAAGGCGUGGGGAUCAAACAGGAUUAGAUACCCUGGUAGUCCACGCAGUAAACGAUGAUUACUCGCUGUUUGCGAUACACAGUAAGCGGCUUAGCGAAAGCGUUAAGUAAUCCACCUGGGGAGUACGUUCGCAAGAAUGAAACUCAAAGGAAUUGGCGGGG
rnacentral:rRNA from 1 species